CCUCACUCCUUCCUUCUGCCAUGUGAGGCCCCAGGGAGAAGAUGAUCAUCUAUGAAGCAGAAAGCGGGCCCUUAUCAGACUUUGAAUCUGCCAACACUUUGAGGUUGAACUUCCAAACUCCAGAACUGGCACCCCACGCUGAAGAAUAACAGUGGCAAUGAUCUAUUGAAAAAUUUAUGAAGUUCAAAAGUGAAGUAAAACAGUAGAUAAGAAGGGAAAGUACUAUCUCUAUUCUACCUAUAGAUGGUGAUUGAAUUCAUAAGCUAUUCUACCCUCUGGGCAAGCUUCAUCCUGAUUUAUAAGACCUACUGGACUGGAGGAGUGAACCCAGGAACAAUAACAACAACAAAAUGAACCUCUGAUGUCUUUGAGACCUGUUCUGACCACCAACCGUGACCCUACAACCACAGAGCCUCUCACCACCACAGGAUGAACCUGGAGUUUUAAUAUGUCAACACUGAAUCUCAAAGAAGCUCACAUAUUCUGGUACAUAUUUCCUUAUAUAUUUAUUACUGUUUUCUCACCAGGGAACCAGCAAUGACAGAUUUAGUGACUAUAACUUUUAUUCACUUGAAAAACAGAGGUCCUGAGGAUAAACUAAAGAAUAACGUUUGUUUAGAACGAACAAGGUACUAACUGCUCCUUUCUAUCUAGAUCAGUGGACUUCAUUUUUUGUGCUAUGUGGUAGGAUGUAAUGAUAUAUUUGGUCAGCUUUGUCCCCAAAGAGGUAUUGAUGUGAUUUUUAAGAAGUUAUACUCUUCUAUUAUUAUGUUCAUGUAAAAGAAUUCUCUCUUCAAAGGAAACAUUCUAGAAAGAAAUCCAUUACAAUGCUGUGAUUAAUGUCCUUCACCAAAUGCAGGAAAGAGAGUUAAGGCUGUAACUCCAAUUCUCUUAUGCAUGCUGGAAAAGAUAUUCUAUCUCUAGUUCCUAUCACAAGAUGCUCAGGAGAGCUGCCUUUUAGCACCAUUAAUACCCAAAAAGGGUACUCUUUCCACAGUCCCCUCUAUAGGCCCCAAACUCUCUCAAACUCAUCACCCAUGACUUCCAAGGCAUUAGUCACUUAAUGAUCUUUAUCAUCCUUGAGCUGCCUCUACCAAACACUUCUAUCUGCUCAGUCACUGUUUAACUGCUGAAAUUAUCCUCUCUCGGCUCUUCAUAUCUCUCUGCUCCUUCUCCCUCAUCUCCGUUACUGACUACUCAGUGCCUCAGCCUUCCUCUUAAAUGUUGUGUUCUCCAAGGUUCCACCCUGGAUGAUUUUCUCACGCAGAAAUCUCAUUCAGCACUUCUAUGUGGCAACACAUCAGUAUCUUCACAUCAGGCCACUCAGCUAAAUACCUAGAUCCAGUGCAUCUAAAUACCAGCCAGUAACCCCUGUGCAGUUACUUCAGACUUACCUGCCCAAGAUGGAAUUCAUCCUCCUCCUCCCUCUCCCCCUGGUCAAACUUGUUCCUUCUUCCGUAAUCCUUCUUUAGCUUAAUAGUGACACCACCUACCCAGGCAUUCAAGUCAGAGGUGACUAACUCUCUCUGAGACCUUUACACAGGUAGUAAUAUUUGAGCUUCAUCCAUGAACAAAUAGAAAUGUACCAGUUUGAAAAGAGUGUGAAAGAAUUCCAAGAAUGAAACAAGAUUUUGAAAAAGUCAUUGAGUUGGGCAUUUUUCUUUAUGUAUUCUUUAAUAUAAAGCUCAUUUAAGAAAUAAAGGGCAAAGGUGGGAGGAAAGUCACUGAGCCAUGAAACAGCAUGAUGUGCUGUUUAGAGGCUGAUAAGAAACCAUAUUUGUCUGAAUUAUAGAGAAUACAGUAGAAGUUGGCAGGAGAUGAAAUAGAAGUAAAUCAGGAUCAGAUUGUAAAGGAUCUUGUGUAUCAACCUAAGGCUCUGUAUUUUAUUCUAUAAGCAAUAGGAGGUCUCCUCUGAUCCUCAGAGAACUAUCUUUUUUAGCAGCACCUUGUAGCUUUCACAUUGCCUCUGGUGGCUUCCAAAUUUUCAUCAGAUCUGUCCUGAGCCAUUCUUGGGAAACUUAUGACUCUCAAAGAAUCAUUCAGUAUUUGUUACUAAAGGUUCAUGGGAGCUACGAUAGCGUAGUACCUUAUAAUCUUAUAAUCUUCUAAAUAAGAAUACUGUAGUGAACAUUUAUUGUGUUCGAUAACUAUCAACCAUUUCCCCAUCUUUUGGAAACAGAGACUCAGUUUUCCUUUGAGGAUCAUCUCUCUUCCACUGAAGUCUCUGUGCUUCAAGUGGAGGUGACUCUUUGUCCAGCUUCUGCACCCUUCCCCCCCACCAGCUAGGCCAUUGCAUCACUCUAGCCACGGUAACUCUUCAAGGAUACACAUGACUCAACUAAAACAAAUGAUAGUCCAGAUAUUUUGUUUGAACUAUUUUGGGAGAUACUAUCUUUUCUAUUGAAUUUGGGCUUGGGAAGAUGUUAAGAGUAGAGCCCACUGGAAACCAGCUUACCCCCACCAAGAACCUAAGGAUGAAAUCAACAUGGAAUUUUAAAAACAGCAAGAGAUUUUCAUAGCUGCGUGUUGAGUGCUGAGGGAGAUACAGUGUAGUAAAUGCAUGACCCCUACCUUCAAUAAGCUUGAAAUAUAUCUGAGAAAACAAUAAUAAGUAUACGAAUAAUACUCAAGUGAAAGAAAGAAACUGAAAAACUACCGUCUCCUAUUUACACUACAAGGAAAGUAAGACCAGAGUGUUUGUCUCUUUUCUACUGAGACAAACAGGAGAGCCUGCCAAGCUGCCCAAACUGGAGAAAGGGAGUUUGAAGGAGCAUAAAUUAGGCAUUUAAGCUUUCAUUUGUCUCUCAGUUUUUUUACUUAUCUCUCCCCAUCAGCUCACCUUCUUAAAUAUUAACGGGUAAAAAUAUUCUUACCCUUCACCCUGCCCUGACUUUAUUGUGAAUUGUCUUAUAACCAUGUUUUUCUGUAGAAAAGGAGAAAUGUUGGCAUACUAAUUUUAAAACAGAUUGACAGGCAACAGAAAGUUAGACGGAGAAAUGCUCACAUGAUCAGAGUGCUAUCCAGGGACGGUGAUGGAAGAAAGAUGCUUAAGAAAACUGAAAAAGCAGGAGACAGGCUGACUGGGUGAGAU